GAUGAACGCUGGCGGCGUGCCUAAUACAUGCAAGUCGAGCGAACGGACGAGAAGCUUGCUUUUCUGAUGUUAGCGGCGGACGGGUGAGUAACACGUGGAUAACCUACCUAUAAGACUGGGAUAACUUCGGGAAACCGGAGCUAAUACCGGAUAAUAUUUUGAACCGCAUGGUUCAAAAGUGAAAGACGGUCUUGCUGUCACUGAUAGAUGGAUCCGCGCUGCAUUAGCUAGUUGGUAAGGUAACGGCUUACCAAGGCAACGAUGCAUAGCCGACAUGAGAGGGUGAGCGGCCACACUGGAACUGAGACACGGUCCAGACUCCUACGGGAGGCAGCAGUAGGGAAUCUUCCGCAAUGGGCGAAAGCCUGACGGAGCAACGCCGCGUGAGUGAUGAAGGUCUUCGGAUCGUAAAACUCGGUUAUUAGGGAAGAACAUAUGUGUAAGUAACUGGGCACAUCUUGACGGUACCUAAUCAGAAAGCCACGGCUAACUACGUGC
rnacentral:rRNA from 1 species